rnacentral:rRNA from 1 species
UACGGAGGGUGCGAGCGUUGUCCGGAAUCACUGGGCGUAAAGGGCGCGUAGGCGGCGCGGGGAGUCAACGGUGAAAGCUCGGCGCUCAACGCCGAGUCGGCCGUCGAUACUCCCGUGCUCGAGCACUGUAGAGGCAGGUGGAAUUCCGGGUGUAGCGGUGGAAUGCGUAGAGAUCCGGAAGAACACCGGUGGCGAAGGCAGCCUGCUGGGCAGUAGCUGACGCUGAGGCGCGACAGCGUGGGGAGCAAACAGG